GGAUUAUAUAGUAGGUCUGCGAAUGGCUCAUUAAACCAGCAGGGAUCUACCCCCAUACGAUAGGGCGACCUAUCCAUUCGGAUAACUUCGCUAACUGCGUAGCUAAUACGUGUACGAACCAUCUGAGCUUCACUCCACACAGGGGUAACCACUCCCCUGUGGAAGCUAGGAUACACAGGCCCGACAUAAAAACCAACCUCCGUAAGGAGAGUCGCAUUGUUGAAUCAGGGUCUGCAUAGUAAUAGCGCACUUUAGGCGCGAAUGGGGACGACCUUCUGCCCUAUCAGCUUAGAUGGUAUGGUAGUGGCCUACCAUGGCGGUGACGGGUAACGGAGAAUCAGGGUUCGAUUCCGGAGAGGGAGCCUGAGAAACGGCUACCACAGUUAAGACUGGCAGCAGGCGCGUAAAUUACCCAAUGCCAACACUGGUGAGGUAGCAACGAAAAAUAGUAACUUCGGGUCACUCAGUGGCUCGAAGAUUGCAAUGGAUGAUAGCUAAAUCUCUCAAUGAGUAUCGAUUGGAGGGCAAGUCUGGUGCCAGCAGCCGCGGUAAUUCCAGCUCCAAAAGCGUAUACUAAUGCUGUUGCUGUUAAAAAGCUCGUAGUUGGAUUCAGGGUCGAAGGUCACUGGCAGCUGCUUGGCGGGUGGGCGUCAAACCCCACCUUGCCUUGUCAGGUUCAACUGCCAGUACACGCCUUCACUCUCUUUUUCUCGGAAACGAUUGGGCCGUCACGGGUGUCCUUCAUUGGUCACCUGCGGCGAUUCCGCAUUCAAUACAUGCUCCGCCCCGUCCGAGGUGCUACUGUGAACAAAACAGCGUGUCCAAAGCAACCAUAGUGUAUGGCUGAAUGAUAAAGCAUGGUACAGCAAAGUAUCGACCAUGGGUCUGACUUUUUGUUGGUUUUAAAAGAUUCAAUGGGUAAUCCUGGCUAGGACGGCCUCAGCUUUCCUACCUUCCUUCGGGUUGGGACGGAUCGUUGUGUACGCCUAGUCUGUCGGAAUUAAGAGGAAUGAUCGGGGUGGUAAGUAUUGUUCCGCUAGUGGUGAAAUACUUAGACCGGAGCAAGACUAUCUACAGCGAAGGCAUUCCGCCAGAAUGUUUUCAUUAAUCAAGAACGAGAGUCUGGGGAUCGAAGAUGAUUAGAUACCGUCGUAGUCCAGCACCGUAAACUAUGCCAGCUAGGAAUCGGGCACUUUGGUCAGUAUUGAGCCUCGCCCGGCACCGUAACUUCCCAAUUACGAGAAAUCAAAGCCUAUGGGUUCAGGGGGGAGUACAUUCGCAAGGCUGAAACUUAAAGGAAUUGACGGAAUGACACCACCAGGCGUGGGUUAUGCGGCUUAAUUUGACUCAACACGGGGAAACUUACCAGGUCAGGACAUAGUGAGGAUUGACAGAUUGAGAGCUCUUUCUUGAUUCUGUGGAUGGUGGUGCAUGGCCGUCUCUGGUUCGUGAGGUGACUUGUCUGCUUAAUUGCGAUAACGAACGAGAUCACUAGGUCUAUCUAGCCCAGGCCGUCGUAUAUAUGUAACUGGGUUUAGGGGGUUCUCUUCCUUUUUCCCGGUGAGACUGGUCUGAGUGGUAAUUAGUCCGACUGUUCAUGUUUACAAUGGACGGAAGAAGGUGCCAAUGGCAGGUCUGUGAUGCUCCUAGACGUCCUGGGCUGCACGCGCAACACACUGACUUAGCAAACGAGUUGCAUGGCUUCGGCCUCCUCAUUCGAAAGGAUAGGGAAAUCUUUGAAAACUAAGUCGUGCUUGGGAUAGAUGAUUGCAAUUAUUUGCCUUGAACGAGGAAUGCCUAGUAGAGGUAAUUCAUCAGAUUACCUUGAUUAUGUCCCUGCCAUUUGUACACACCGCCCGUCGUUGCUACCGAUUGGAUGAUACAUAGAGAUUUUAGGAGGACACUAUCGGCUUGCCGUUUCACUGCCCGAAUUUACUCAAUAUUUAUUAU
rnacentral:rRNA from 1 species